AUAAAACAAACGAAGGGACAUCUAUAGUAACAAAAGAUACGGCUGAAGAAUGUGUAGAAUAUUGCUGGAAAAUCAGGCUUAGAGUAGCAUUAAUCAAGGAAGGUAAUCAGUGUAAAUGUGUGGAGAAUUUACAACGUGCAACCUACACAGCUAUGUCUGGUUGUCAGAUACCGUGUGUUGGGGACCAAAGACAAAACUGUGGUGGAAAAAAUAAAUAUGCCAUGUACAAGACGGGUUAUGUAAAAGAACCAAGGUUUCGAUCGAAAUAUUCAGCUGAUCGUGUUAAAAAAUUGUAUCAAGGCUGUUAUGAGAAAAUUACACGACCUCAAAAAGAAUCACAAUUGAAUUUCGCCCGAAUGACAACAGAUGUUUGUCUCGCUCAUUGCCAGGAUAAUAAGUUUAAUUUUGCUUCACUUUCUGGUGGUGCCAGGUGUUCAUGUACUAUAUCAAACAAACAUCUCGCAAGAAUCGGUGAAAGUUCCUGUAAAGUACCAUGUAAAGGGGAUGCUUCUAUGAAGUGUGGCGGA